GAUAUGGUUCAGGAUGAACGCUAGCUACAGGCUUAACACAUGCAAGUCGAGGGGCAGCAUGAACUUAGCUUGCUAAGUUUGAUGGCGACCGGCGCACGGGUGAGUAACACGUAUCCAACCUGCCGAUGACUCGGGGAUAGCCUUUCGAAAGAAAGAUUAAUACCCGAUGGCAUAGUUCUUCCGCAUGGUAGAACUAUUAAAGAAUUUCGGUCAUCGAUGGGGAUGCGUUCCAUUAGGUUG
rnacentral:rRNA from 1 species